UACGGAGGGGGCUAGCGUUGUUCGGAAUGACUGGGCGUAAAGCGCACGUAGGCGGCUUUCUAAGUCAGGGGUGAAAUCCUGGAGCUCAACUCCAGAACUGCCUUUGAUACUGGAGAGCUCGAGUCCGGAAGAGGUGAGUGGAACUGCGAGUGUAGAGGUGAAAUUCGUAGAUAUUCGCAAGAACACCAGUGGCGAAGGCGGACUCACUGGUCCGGUACUGACGCUGAGGUGCGAAAGCGUGGGGAGCAACAGGG
rnacentral:rRNA from 1 species